AUGGCCGUACUCUUCUCUCCAGAGGAGGAAGAGAGGAGGGAGAGGGAGGAGACGGAGAGGAUAGUCAAGCUGCAGAGGGAGCUGCAGAGGAACAGGGAGAUGGAAGCAGAGAACCUUUAUUUGCAAGAGCAGCUUAGAGAGGUUGAGCUCAGCAGGCAACAGCACGCUGCUGAUUUGCAGGAGAAAAAUAGGCUUUCCCGAUUGUUGGAGCAUAAGAAUGCUUUCCUGGAAAGAGUUGUCCAACGUCGAGAAGCUGAGUUUAAUAGCCAAAAGAAAGAGAGGGCAGAAAGGAUUAAUCAGUUGAUUUCAAGAAAGCGUGCAAAGGAGACUCUGCUGAAAUUGAUGUAUUAUCUGUUUCCGGAGGAAGAGCGGAUCCAAAUGUUCCACGUAGUAGACGCUAGAAAACGUGAAGAGGAAGAGAGGCGGAAGAGGGAAGAUGCGGAGAUGAGACUAAAGCUCGACACACUUAAAGCUAAGCUCGACGCACUUAAAGCUAGCUAA
rnacentral:rRNA from 1 species